AUUGAACGCUGGCGGCAGGCCUAACACAUGCAAGUCGAAUGGUAACAGGAAACAGCUUGCUGUUUCGCUGACGAGUGGCGGACGGGUGAGUAAUGUCUGGGAAACUGCCUGAUGGAGGGGGAUAACUACUGGAAACGGUAGCUAAUACCGCAUAACGUCGCAAGACCAAAGAGGGGGACCUUCGGGCCUCUUGCCAUCAGAUGUGCCCAGAUGGGAUUAGCUAGUAGGUGGGGUAACGGCUCACCUAGGCGACGAUCCCUAGCUGGUCUGAGAGGAUGACCAGCCACACUGGAACUGGGACACGGUCCAGACUCCUACGGGAGGCAGCAGUGGGGAAUAUUGCACAAUGGGCGCAGGCCUGAUGCAGCCAUGCCGCGUGUAUGAAGAAGGCCUUCGGGUUGUAAAGUACUUUCAGCGGGGAGGAAGGGAGUAAAGUUAAUACCUUUGCUCAUUGACGUUACCCGCAGAAGAAGCACCGGCUAACUCCGUG
rnacentral:rRNA from 1 species